GAUGAACGCUGGCGGCGUGCCUAAUACAUGCAAGUCGAGCGAACAGGCGGGGAGCUUGCUCCUCUGACGUUAGCGGCGGACGGGUGAGUAACACGUGGAUAACCUACCUAUAAGACUGGGAUAACUUCGGGAAACCGGAGCUAAUACCGGAUAACAUGUUGAACCGCAUGGUUCAACAGUGAAAGACGGUCUUGCUGUCACUUAUAGAUGGAUCCGCGCCGCAUUAGCUAGUUGGUAAGGUAACGGCUUACCAAGGCAACGAUGCGUAGCCGACCUGAGAGGGUGAUCGGCCACACUGGAACUGAGACACGGUCCAGACUCCUACGGGAGGCAGCAGUAGGGAAUCUUCCGCAAUGGGCGAAAGCCUGACGGAGCAACGCCGCGUGAGUGAAGAAGGUCUUCGGAUCGUAAAACUCUGUUAUUAGGGAAGAACAAAUGUGUAAGUAACUAUGCACGUCUUGACGGUACCUAAUCAGAAAGCCACGGCUAACUACGUG
rnacentral:rRNA from 1 species